CCUACGGGUGGCAGCAGUGGGGAAUAUUGCACAAUGGGGGAAACCCUGAUGCAGCGACGCCGCGUGAGUGAAGAAGUAAUUCGUUAUGUAAAGCUCUAUCAGCAGGGAAGAAAAUGACGGUACCUGAGUAAGAAGCCCCGGCUAACUACGUGCCAGCAGCCGCGGUAAUACGUAGGGGGCAAGCGUUAUCCGGAUUUACUGGGUGGAAAGGGAGCGUAGACGGCAGGGCAAGUCUGGAGUGAAAGGCGGGGGCUCAACCCCCGGACUGCUCUGGAAACUGUACGGCUGGAGUGCAGGAGAGGUAAGUGGAAUUCCUAGUGUAGAGGUGAAAUGCGUAGCUAUUAGGAGGAACACCAGUGGCGAAGGCGGCUUACUGGACUGUAACUGACGUUGAGACUCGAAAGCGUGGGGAGCAAACAGGAUUAGAUACCCUUGUAGUC
rnacentral:rRNA from 1 species